CAGCGUCGCAAGUGGCGAUCCUGCUUAUUUGGCCUAAAGCGUCCGUAGCUGGUUAAGUAAAUCUCUUGUGAAAUUGUUCAGCUUAACUGAACAGCGUGCAGGAGAGACUGCUUAGCUAGGGACCGGGAGGAGUCAGAGAUAUGCCUUGGGGAGCGGUAAAAUGCUAUAAUCCUUGGUAGAUCACCUGUGGCGAAGGCGUCUGACUAGAACGGGUCCGACAGUGAGGGACGAAAGCUAGGGGAGCAAACCGGAUUAGAGACCCGAGUAGUCC
rnacentral:rRNA from 1 species